AACGAACGCUGGCGGCAGGCCUAACACAUGCAAGUCGAGCGCCCCAGCAAUGGGGGAGCGGCAGACGGGUGAGUAACGCGUGGGUAUCUACCUAGUGGUGCGGAAUAGCCCAGGGAAACUUGGAGUAAUACCGCAUAAGCCCGAAAGGGGAAAGAUUUAUCGCCAUUAGAUGAGCCCGCGUUGGAUUAGCUAGUUGGUGGGUAACGGCCCACCAAGGCGACGAUCCAUAGCUGGUCUGAGAGGAUGAUCAGCCACACUGGGACUGAGACACGGCCCAGACUCCUACGGGAGGCAGCAGUGGGAAUAUUGGACAAUGGGCGCAAGCCUGAUCCAGCCAUGCCGCGUCGAGUGACGAAGGUCUUCGGAUUGUAAAGCUACUUUUGGCGGGGACGAGUAAUGACGGUACCGCAGAA
rnacentral:rRNA from 1 species